rnacentral:rRNA from 1 species
UAGGCAGCGAGCGUUGUUCGGAGUUACUGGGCGUAAAGAGUGCGUAGGCGGUGCUCCAAGUCUGGUGUGAAAUCUCCCGGCUUAACCGGGAGGGUGCGCCGGAAACUGGGGUGCUGGAGUGUGGGAGAGGUGAGUGGAAUUCCCGGUGUAGCGGUGAAAUGCGUAGAGAUCCGGAGGAACACCAGUGGCGAAGGCGACACGCUGGGCCGUACCUGACACUGAUACGCGACAGCAUGGGGAGCGAACGGG